CAAAUCCUCCUCUCCCAAGAAGUUGAACCUAAAGAAUUUCAGACCGGAAAUAAGGCAUACAGUUUUUAACAAUGAGAGUAAUUAACCAUUGGAACAACUUA